CGGACGGGUGAGUAAUGCUUAGGAAUCUGCCUAUUAGUGGGGGACAACAUUCCGAAAGGAAUGCUAAUACCGCAUACGCCCUACGGGGGAAAGCAGGGGAUCUUCGGACCUUGCGCUAAUAGAUGAGCCUAAGUCAGAUUAGCUAGUUGGUGGGGUAAAGGCCUACCAAGGCGACGAUCUGUAGCGGGUCUGAGAGGAUGAUCCGCCACACUGGGACUGAGACACGGCCCAGACUCCUACGGGAGGCAGCAGUGGGGAAUAUUGGACAAUGGGCGAAAGCCUGAUCCAGCCAUGCCGCGUGUGUGAAGAAGGCCUUUUGGUUGUAAAGCACUUUAAGCGAGGAGGAGGCUACUGAGAUUAAUACUCUAGGAUAGUGGACGUUACUCGCAGAAUAAGCACCGGCUAACUCUGUGCCAGCAGCCGCGGUAAUACAGAGGGUGCGAGCGUUAAUCGGAUUUACUGGGCGUAAAGCGUGCGUAGGCGGCUUUUUAAGUCGGAUGUGAAAUCCCUGAGCUUAACUUAGGAAUUGCAUUCGAUACUGGGAAGCUAGAGUAUGGGAGAGGAUGGUAGAAUUCCAGGUGUAGCGGUGAAAUGCGUAGAGAUCUGGAGGAAUACCGAUGGCGAAGGCAGCCAUCUGGCCUAAUACUGACGCUGAGGUACGAAAGCAUGGGGAGCAAACAGGAUUAGAUACCUGGUAGUCC
rnacentral:rRNA from 1 species